AGUGUUGAGUGUGUGAGAGUCAUUAGAUUCAUAGUUGUUAUCAAAGCUCACCGAUAGACUUGACAGAGACCAGACAAAGGUUAGGACAAUGUCAGUUAGGUGUUUGUAUUGUAGAGAGACUGAUAUGUGGGUCGGGACAGACAUUAGUAAUGUUAGUUUAGGCGUAGGCUAGAUACUCAGCCUAUAUAGAGUAGAGUUUGGGGCAGUCGGGACACAGCGCCAUGUAGUGUUAGCAGUGGCGUGUGUCGUGUGCUAGGCGUUUUCUGGUAAACGACACAUACAGACAUUGGGAGCAAGUCGCCGAGGUUGGCUCGCGAUCUUGGCUCCAAGAGGUGUGAGUUGUUUGCCAGAGACAACAUGUAGGAACUAAUUCUUAAGGAUCAGGAGUGACAGUCUUGGCGACUGUCUGAGUCUUAGUGACAGUCUGACGGUCAGAGACGGUAGAUCUAUAUAUGGUGUAUCCUUGCCUGCUACGCAAGGGGAUAUCACUCUAGUAUUGAGCGGACUGUGACGUUGGGUUUCAUGAUCCGUGCAGAGACUAGAGAGAGAGAGAGAGAGAGAGAGAGAGAGAGAAAGACAAGAGAAAUGGAGAGUUCAUCGUGACCUACAGCCAAGUAUCAAUAUCUAUGUGAUUAUUAAAUUUUAAUUCUAGAAUCACAUGAGUAUUAUAUGUAAUUAUAGUUGUUAAUUAAAUAUUUAUUUUUCUUAUGCAAA